AGUGAACGCUGGCGGUAGGCCUAACACAUGCAAGUCGAACGGCAGCACAGUAAGAGCUUGCUCUUACGGGUGGCGAGUGGCGGACGGGUGAGGAAUACAUCGGAAUCUACUUUUUCGUGGGGGAUAACGUAGGGAAACUUACGCUAAUACCGCAUACGACCUACGGGUGAAAGCAGGGGAUCUUCGGACCUUGCGCGAUUGAAUGAGCCGAUGUCGGAUUAGCUAGUUGGCGGGGUAAAGGCCCACCAAGGCGACGAUCCGUAGCUGGUCUGAGAGGAUGACACGCCCCACUGAAACUGAGACCAGGCCAAGCCCCCGACGGGACGCAGCAGGGGGAAAUAUUGAACAAGGGGCCCAGGCUGGACCCACCCUUACGGGGGGGAGAAAGAGGGCCUUGGGUUUGUAAGCCCUUUUGGUGGGAAAAAAAAAGCAGGCGGUUACUCCCCCCUUGUCCUGACGGUACCAAAAAAAAAAGCCCGGGCAAAUUUGGUC
rnacentral:rRNA from 1 species